rnacentral:rRNA from 1 species
AUUGAACGCUGGCGGCAUGCUUUACACAUGCAAGUCGAUCGGUAACAGGUUAAGCUGACGAGUGGCGAACGGGUGAGUAAUGCAUCGGAACGUGCCCGAUCGUGGGGGAUAACGCAGCGAAAGCUGCGCUAAUACCGCAUACGAUCUGAGGAUGAAAGCGGGGGACCGUAAGGCCUCGCGCGAUCGGAGCGGCCGAUGUCAGAUGAGGUAGUUGGUGGGGUAAAGGCCCACCAAGCCGACGAACUGUAGCUGGUCUGAGAGGACGACCAGCCACACUGGGACGGAGUCACGGCCCAGACUCCUACGGGAGGCAGCAGUGGGGAAUUUUGGACAAUGGGCGAAAGCCUGAUCCAGCAAUGCCGCGUGCAGGAAGAAGGCCUUCGGGUUGUAAACUGCUUUUGUACGGAGCGAAAAGGUCCUUUCUAAUACAAGGGGCUCAUGACGGUACCGUAAGAAUAAGCACCGGCUAACUACGUGCCAGCCGCCGCCGUAA